rnacentral:lncRNA from 12 species
UUUCCCUUGACCCUGGAAACACAGUGACCACACAGGCACUGCUGGAUCCCAGCACUGAUGUUCCCUGACCCCAGGAGGGGUCACACCUGUUCACCCUCUGGGUGACUUGGGGGUUGCUGGUGCUGGGAUGUCUCCAUCUCAUCCCUCCUGGGUUCCGACAGGCUGCAUCCCCUGACGUGUACGUCCUGCUUGGGUAUAUUUUACUUUGCUGAAGCUGGCUGAAAUCAGUCAUACUCUGCCAAUUUGAGUAUUUUUGCCCCACCUGAACACCCUUCCUCCUGCCAGUAGCCAGCUUCAGGUCUCCAGUUCCCUUAUCCCUUGAGGUGGGGUGGAGGAGAAGACCUGGGAUGCUGGUUUUUAACUGAGUGAUUUUUCUGGUCCAGACUCCCGGCUCACCAUGGAGAUAAUGAGGGAUGCAAAGCCAUGGAAGCUGCCCCCCGCCCUGGACCAGUACAAGAGCACGUAUCGGAAGGAUUUCGGCUGGCACGAAGAUUACCACUCCCCCAUCCAGGCGCACGUACCGAAACCUUCGUACCCUCCUGUGGCACAAGUGCCCAGGUGCUACCUGCCAGGGUGCUGGCCCUCUGGCCUGCCACCGAGACGGGCGGGGAAGCUGGAGAUCCUGGCUGAGCCGAUGCACGACCUGUCCUGCUGCCCGCCCCUCCCAGCUCCUGCUCUGACAUCUGAAGCUGAGGGGGUGUUGGCACUGAGGGAACUGCCAACUUCAGACUUGCUCACCUACCAGCAAUAUGCCCAGGAUUUGUACCACGAAAGGCAGUACAACGCUGAACAAAACAAGGACCACAACCUGAGAUCAUCUGUUUUAGUGCCAGACUCCUCCGACCUUGAGUGGAAAAGUGUCUACAAGCAAGAUUACCAGCGCCAGAAAAGAAUCCCUAGUGGGCUCUACACAGAGGAGAUAAGACCUUCUCCUGUUUUCCCAGAGGAAAACCGCUUCAAUGAGAGCCGCUGGGUGACUGAGUAUGCAGACAGCUACAGCAUGUUCCUGAAGAGGCUGGACUGGUCCUCUCCCAUCUCUGGCCAGUGGCUGCCCUUUGGGAAGGAUGCACGAUGGACACCGCGCUGGAGAGAGUCCGCUCGCUGAGUGCUGCUGAAUGGCCGUGGUGAGCACCAGGAUCAUCCUUUAUGGCUCUGGGAGAUGGGAUUUCAGGGACUGAGGCUGCAGGAAAAAGUAUAAACAGUUGUGGGAGCUGGUACAAACUACCAUGAGGCAUGAGAGUUUGGCUGCUGGAAUGAAUAGC